UACGGAGGAUGCGAGCGUUAUCCGGAUUUAUUGGGUUUAAAGGGUGCGUAGGCGGUCCGUUAAGUCAGCGGUAAAAUUGCGGGGCUCAACCCCGUCGAGCCGUUGAAACUGGCAGACUUGUGUUGGCGAGAAGUACGCGGAAUGCGCGGUGUAGCGGUGAAAUGCAUAGAUAUCGCGCAGAACUCCGAUUGCGAAGGCAGCGUACCGGCGCCAGACUGACGCUGAGGCACGAAAGCGUGGGGAUCGAACAGG
rnacentral:rRNA from 1 species